rnacentral:rRNA from 1 species
UACGUAGGGGGCUAGCGUUGUCCGGAAUCAUUGGGCGUAAAGCGCGCGUAGGCGGCCCGGUAAGUCCGCUGUAAAAGUCCAGGGCUCAACCCUGGAACGCCGGUGGAUACUGUCGGGCUAGAGUCCGGAAGAGGCGAGUGGAAUUCCCAGUGUAGCGGUGAAAUGCGUAGAUAUUGGGAGGAACACCAGUGGCGAAGGCGGCUCACUGGACCGGAACUGACGCUGAGGCGCGAAAGCGUGGGGAGCAAACAGG